rnacentral:rRNA from 1 species
CCUACGGGUGGCUGCAGUGGGGAAUAUUGGACAAUGGGCGAAAGCCUGAUCCAGCCAUGCCGCGUGUGUGAAGAAGGCCUUCGGGUUGUAAAGCACUUUCAGUGGGGAAGAAAGCCUUGGGGCUAAUACCCUCGAGGAAGGACAUCACCCACAGAAGAAGCACCGGCUAACUCCGUGCCAGCAGCCGCGGUAAUACGGAGGGUGCGAGGUUAAUCGGAAUUACUGGGCGUAAAGCGCGCGUAGGCGGUCUGAUAAGCCGGUUGUGAAAGCCCCGGGCUCAACCUGGGAACGGCAUCCGAAACUGGCAGGCUAGAGUUCAGGAGAGGAAGGUAGAAUUCCUGGUGUAGCGGUGAAAUGCGUAGAGAUCGGGAGGAAUACCAGUGGCGAAGGCGGCCUCCUGGACUGACACUGACGCUGAGGUGCGAAAGCGUGGGUAGCAAACAGGAUAAGAUACCCUGUAGUC